GAUGAACGCUGGCUACAGGCUUGACACAUGCAAGUCGAGGGGAAACGACGGGGAAGCUUGCUUCCCCGGGCGUCGACCGGCGCACGGGUGAGUAACGCGUAUCCAACCUGCCUCUGACUGAGGGAUAACCCGUCGAAAGUCGGCCUAAUACCUCAUGGUAUCGUCUGCGGGCAUCCAACGACGAUUAAAGAUUUCAUCGGUCAGGGAUGGGGAUGCGUCUGAUUAGCUUGUUGGCGGGGUAACGGCCCACCAAGGCUACGAUCAGUAGGGGUUCUGAGAGGAAGGUCCCCCACAUUGGAACUGAGACACGGUCCAAACUCCUACGGGAGGCAGCAGUGAGGAAUAUUGGUCAAUGGGCGAGAGCCUGAACCAGCCAAGUAGCGUGCAGGAAGACGGCCCUAUGGGUUGUAAACUGCUUUUAUGCGGGGAUAAAGUGAGGGACGUGUCCCUCAUUGCAGGUACCGCAUGAAUAAGGACCGGCUAAUUCCGUG
rnacentral:rRNA from 1 species